rnacentral:rRNA from 1 species
AUUGAACGCUGGCGGCACGCUUAACACAUGCAAGUCGAACGGCAGCGGGGGGAGCUUGCUCCUUGCCGGCGAGUGGCGAACGGGUGAGUAACGCGUAGGGAUCUGCCUGUUAGAGGGGGAUAAGCCGUGGAAACGCGGUCUAAUACCGCAUACGCCCUAAGGGGGAAAGGAUGGGACUGAGAGGCCAUUCACUAACAGAUGAACCUGCGUUAGAUUAGCUAGUUGGUAGGGUAAAGGCCUACCAAGGCGACGAUCUAUAGCUGGUCUGAGAGGAUGACCAGCCACACUGGAACUGAGAUACGGACCAGACUCCUACGGGAGGCUG